rnacentral:rRNA from 1 species
UACGUAGGUGGCAAGCGUUGUCCGGAUUUACUGGGCGUAAAGAGCGCGCAGGCGGUCGUGCAAGUCGCGUGGGAAAGCCCCCGGCUCAACUGGGGAGGGUCACGCGAUACUGCUCGACUCGAAGGCAGGAGAGGGAAGUGGAAUUCCCGGUGUAGUGGUGAAAUGCGUAGAUAUCGGGAGGAACACCAGUGGCGAAGGCGACUUCCUGGCCUGUUCUUGACGCUGAGGCGCGAAAGCUAGGGUAGCAAACGGG